AGCGAACGCUGGCGGCAGGCCUAACACAUGCAAGUCGAACGAAGUCCUCGGACUUAGUGGCGGACGGGUGAGUAACACGUGGGAACGUACCUUUUGGUUCGGAACAACUCAGGGAAACUUGAGCUAAUACCGGAUGAGCCCUUAGGGGGAAAGAUAUAUCGCCGAAAGAGCGGCCCGCGUUAGAUUAGCUAGUUGGUGAGGUAAAGGCUCACCAAGGCUACGAUCUAUAGCUGGUCUGAGAGGAUGAUCAGCCACACUGGGACUGAGACACGGCCCAGACUCCUACGGGAGGCAGCAGUGGGGAAUCUUGCGCAAUGGGCGAAAGCCUGACGCAGCCAUGCCGCGUGAAUGAUGAAGGUCUUAGGAUUGUAAAAUUCUUUUACCAGGGACGAUAAUGACGGUACCUGGAGAAAAAGCCCCGGCUAACUUCGUGCCAGCAGCCGCCGUAAUAC
rnacentral:rRNA from 1 species